AGUGAACGCUGGCGGCAGGCCUAACACAUGCAAGUCGAGCGGCAGCGCGGGGGCAACCCUGGCGGCGAGCGGCGGACGGGUGAGGAAUGCGUCGGAAUCUGCCUCUUUGUGGGGGAUAACGUAGGGAAACUUACGCUAAUACCGCAUACGACCUACGGGUGAAAGUGGGGGACCGCAAGGCCUCACGCAGAGAGAUGAGCCGACGCCGGAUUAGCUAGUUGGCGGGGUAAAGGCCCACCAAAGCGACGAUCCGUAGCUGGUCUGAGAGGAUGAUCAGCCACACUGGAACUGAGACACGGUCCAGACUCAUACGGGAGGCAGCAGUGGGGAAUAUUGGACAAUGGGCGCAAGCCUGAUCCAGCCAUGCCGCGUGUGUGAAGAAGGCCUUCGGGUUGUAAAGCACUUUUGUCCGGAAAGAAAAGCAUUCGGUUAAUAACCGGGUGUCAUGACGGUACCGGAAGAAUAAGCACCGGCUAACUUCGUGCCAGCAGCCGCCGUAAAAC
rnacentral:rRNA from 1 species